rnacentral:lncRNA from 1 species
AAUCAUUUUUUGAGUCGAUUUGUGGCUCAGAAACUUUAACUUUUUCUUCUAGGCCUACCACACUUUCAGUCUCGACCGAAAAAAUAGGUGGCCUAGGUUUUUCUUCUUGGCCGACCAUAUUUUCAGCCUCGACCGAAAAAAUAGGUGGCCUUUGUUCUUCGGCCAAAUUAACAAUUUUCUUAGGCCGAUGUCUGAUUACGGCCGGAGCGAAAAAUUGCCCCCCGGCCUUUGGGCCUAACCAUUUUUCAAAUGGAAUUGAUCUGUAAUCAGAAACGUAAGGAAAAUUUUCUUCAUCUAGCCAGACAUUAAAUCGAGCCCUGUCUUCAUUUACCCAUUGCC